CUGCAAGGUCUACAUCAUGUCAUGCAUGCAUAGAUACAUUACAUUACUACAAGCAAAUUUACAGCUUUAUCAGUCUAUAACAUGGUAACAUAAUCAGAAACUAUCAAACAUGUCAGAGCGUGCAUGUCAGAAUGGAAGUACAAAGGCAAAAAUAUACAGGUUUCUUCUCACUGCAGUAUAGUAGAAACAAACUUUUAUUGCCUGCAAAGGAUGGAAGAUGCUAACUCAAGCCUUA
rnacentral:lncRNA from 1 species